GGGAGUAGUAGAGGGUCUUCGCGAGACAUCUCCAGGCGAUCCGGGAAACCACGGUUGGCCCUGUCCGAGGGGUGUCAUGAGCAGGAGCGAUAUCUUGUGGGUGCGUGUGUAUCGAAGCACCCUUGCUAUUGUUGAGAACGGCUGGGUCACGUCUGUAGGGGUUCAUCCAUCGCCUCGUAUCCGAAGGAAGAGUCAAAGAUCGUUUUGC